CAAUAGCGUAUAUUAAAGUUGUUGCAGUUAAAAAGCUCGUAGUUGGAUUUCUGAUCGAGACAUCAGGUCGGGUCCGAGAGGAUCAUGUACUUUGAUUUUGUUUUGAUCAUCCUUGGGGAGAGCAUUUCUGGCAUUCAGUUGUCGGGAUUGGGAUCCUCAUCGUUUACUGUGAAAAAAUUAGAGUGUUCAAAGCAGGCCUCGGCCUCUGAAUACAUUAGCAUGGAAUAAUAAGAUAGGACUUUGGUGGUCUAUUUUGUUGGUUUGCACGCCAAAGUAAUGAUUAAUAGGGAUAGUUGGGGGUAUUCGUAUUCAAUUGUCAGAGGUGAAAUUCUUGGAUUUAUGGAAGACGAACCACUGCGAAAGCAUUUACCAAGGAUGUUUUCAUUAA
rnacentral:rRNA from 1 species